rnacentral:rRNA from 1 species
AGUCAAGUAAUUAAGUGCAUGUGGUGGAUGCCUUGGCAGUCAGAGGCGAUGAAAGACGUGAUAGCCUGCGAAAAGCUCCGGGGAGGCGGCAAAUAUCCUUUGAUCCGGAGAUGUCUGAAUGGGGGAACCCACCUACUUUAAGGUAGGUAUUGCAACAUGAAUACAUAGUGUUGCAAGGCGAACGAGGGGAAGUGAAACAUCUCAGUACCCUUAGGAAAAGAAAUCAAUUGAGAUUCCCUCAGUAGCGGCGAGCGAACGGGGAUCAGCCCAUUAAGUUAUGUGUGUUUUAGUGGAACGCUCUGGGAAGUGCGAACGUAGAGGGUGAUAUUCCCGUACACGAAAGGGCACACAUAAUGAUGACGAGUAGGGCGAGGCACGUGAAACCUUGUCUGAAUAUGGGGGGACCAUCCUCCAAGGCUAAAUACUCCUGACUGACCGAUAGUGAACCAGUACCGUGAGGGAAAGGCGAAAAGAACCCCUGUGAGGGGAGUGAAAUAGAUCCUGAAACCGCAUGCAUACAAGCAGUGGGAGCACCUUCGUGGUGUGACUGCGUACCUUUUGUAUAAUGGGUCAGCGACUUAUAUUCAGUAGCGAGGUUAACCGUAUAGGGGAGCCGUAGAGAAAUCGAGUCUUAAUAGGGCGUUUAGUUGCUGGGUAUAGACCCGAAACCAGGCGAUCUAUCCAUGAGCAGGUUGAAGGUUGGGUAACACUAACUGGAGGACCGAACCCACUGUCGUUGAAAAGCCAGGGGAUGACUUGUGGAUAGGGGUGAAAGGCUAAUCAAGCCUGGUGAUAGCUGGUUCUCCCCGAAAGCUAUUUAGGUAGCGCCUCGGACGAAUACCAUAGGGGGUAGAGCACUGUUUCGGCUAGGGGGUCAUCCCGACUUACCAAACCGAUGCAAACUCCGAAUACCUAUGAGUACUAUCCGGGAGACAGACUGCGGGUGCUAACGUCCGUAGUCAAGAGGAAAACAAUCCAGACCGCCAGCUAAGGCCCCAAAAUCAUAGUUAAGUGGGAAACGAUGUGGGAAGGCAUAGACAGCUAGGAGGUUGGCUUAGAAGCAGCCACCCUUUAAAGAAAGCGUAAUAGCUCACUAGUCGAGUCGGCCUGCGCGGAAGAUGUAACGGGGCUAAAACUAUGUGCCGAAGCUGCGGAUNNUGCUGGAGGUAUCAGAAGUGCGAAUGCUGACGUGAGUAACGACAAAACGGGUGAAAAACCCGUUCGCCGAAAGACCAAGGGUUCCAGUCCAACGUUAAUCGGGGCUGGGUGAGUCGACCCCUAAGGCGAGGCCGAAAGGCGUAGUCGAUGGGAAAAUGGUUAAUAUUCCAUUACUUCUGUGUAAUGCGAUGAGAGGACGGAGAAGGCUAAAUCAGCCUGGCGUUGGUUGUCCAGGUGAAAGGAUGUAGGCAUGUAUCUUAGGCAAAUCCGGGGUACUCUAUGCUGAGAUCUGAUAGCAAGCUGUACUUGUACAGCGAAGUGGUUGAUGCCAUGCUUCCAGGAAAAGUCUCUAAGCUUCAGUUACACAGGAAUCGUACCCGAAACCGACACAGGUGGUCAGGUCGAGUAGACCAAGGCGCUUGAGAGAACUCUGCUGAAGGAACUAGGCAAAAUGGUACCGUAACUUCGGGAGAAGGUACGCUGUUGUUGGUGAUGGAACUCGCUUCCUGAGCUGACGACAGCCGCAGAAACCAGGCCGCUGCAACUGUUUAUUAAAAACAUAGCACUCUGCAAACACGAAAGUGGACGUAUAGGGUGUGAUGCCUGCCCGGUGCUGGAAGGUUAAUUGAUGGGGUUAGCGUAAGCGAAGCUCUUGAUCGAAGCCCCAGUAAACGGCGGCCGUAACUAUAACGGUCCUAAGGUAGCGAAAUUCCUUGUCGGGUAAGUUCCGACCUGCACGAAUGGCNNCCGCGGCUAGACGGAAAGACCCCGUGAACCUUUACUGCAGCUUGACACUGAACUUUGACCUUACUUGUGUAGGAUAGGUGGGAGGCUUUGAAGCUGGAACGCUAGUUCCAGUGGAGCCGUCCUUGAAAUACCACCCUGGUAAUGUUGAGGUUCUAACUCUGUCCCGUGAUCCGGGACGAGGACCGUGUCUGGUGGGUAGUUUGACUGGGGCGGUCUCCUCCUAAAGAGUAACGGAGGAGUACGAAGGUGCGCUCAGCGUGGUCGGAAAUCACGCGUAGAGUAUAAAGGCAAAAGCGCGCUUAACUGCGAGACCCACAAGUCGAGCAGGUACGAAAGUAGGUCUUAGUGAUCCGGUGGUUCUGUAUGGAAGGGCCAUCGCUCAACGGAUAAAAGGUACUCUGGGGAUAACAGGCUGAUACCGCCCAAGAGUUCAUAUCGACGGCGGUGUUUGGCACCUCGAUGUCGGCUCAUCUCAUCCUGGGGCUGAAGCAGGUCCCAAGGGUAUGGCUGUUCGCCAUUUAAAGAGGUACGCGAGCUGGGUUUAGAACGUCGUGAGACAGUUCGGUCCCUAUCUACCGUGGGCGCUGGAAAUUUGAGAGGAUCUGCUCCUAGUACGAGAGGACCAGAGUGGACGAACCUCUGGUGUACCGGUUGUGACGCCAGUCGCAUCGCCGGGUAGCUAUGUUCGGAAGGGAUAACCGCUGAAAGCAUCUAAGCGGGAAGCCUACCUCAAGAUAAGAUUUCCCUAGGACUUUAUGUCCUCUAAAGAGCCGUUCGAGACUAGGACGUUGAUAGGUUGGAUGUGGAAGCAUAGUGAUAUGUGAAGCUGACCAAUACUAAUUGCUCGUGAGGCUUGACUAU